CGGUGUUUAACUGGCGUGAUGUGGGACGUCCUACCGGUGGGCUUAGCCUCGCGAGGGGCGGCCCAACUAAUAUCCCGUCGCGGUGCUCUUUACUGAGUGUCGAGUCGGGCCGGUACGUUUACUUUGAACAAAUUAGAGUGCUUAAAGCAGGCUAUCCUCGCCUGAAUACUGCGUGCAUGGAAUAAUGGAAUAGGACCUCGGUUCUAUUUUGUUGGUUUUCGGAACCCCGAGGUAAUGAUUAAUAGGGACAGAUGGGGGCAUUCGUAUUGCGACGUUAGAGGUGAAAUUCUUGGAUCGUCGCAAGACGGACAGAAGCGAAAGCAUUUGCCAAAAAUGUUUUCAUUAAUCAAGAACGAAAGUUAGAGGUUCGAAGGCGAUCAGAUACCGCCCUAGUUCUAACCAUAAACGAUGCCAGCUAGCGAUCCGCCGAAGUUCCUCCGAUGACUCGGCGGGCAGCUUCCGGGAAACCAAAGCUUUUGGGUUCCGGGGGAGGUAUGGUUGCAAAGCUGAAACUUAAAGGAAUUGACGGAAGGGCACCACCAGGAGUGGAGCCUGCGGCUUAAUUUGACUCAACACGGGAAACCUCACCAGGCCCAGACACCGGAAGGAUUGACAGAUUGAUAGCUCUUUCUUGAUUCGGUGGGUGGUGGUGCAUGGCCGUUCUUAGUUGGUGGAGCGAUUUGUCUGGUUAAUUCCGAUAACGAACGAGACUCUAGCCUGCUAAAUAGGCGUACCUUAUGGUAUCGCGAAGGCCCCCGGCUUCGGCCGGUGGGUUUUUACUACCAACGUACAAACAAAUCUUCUUAGAGGGACAGGCGG
rnacentral:rRNA from 1 species